GGAGUGAGUCACGACUUCCUCUUCUGCCUGUCAAGACUCAAACUUUCCAAUCCCAUUUCUAAUCUCUUUACAAAUGACCCACCAUCCAUGAAGGACAAGUUGGCCACUGAUGCAAAUUCUCACUGCCAACCUGACCAGCUCACUUACAUCAUAUGCACAUGGAAAGCCACUUCUGUACCAGCCUGUGGAGACUCACACAAAUGAGGAUGGAGACCACUGUGCCUCUAUUUACUUUGAGGAACUGGCUCGUGGAACUAUCAGGACAGACAGGUCUGUCUGAAAUCUGUAGGGCAGACUGACAGGUUGACAAUUCAGCUAAGAGUUGUCGAAGGCUGUAGUGAAUUCUUAUCAUUCUUUGUUGCCUUUGUGUCUAUUUUAAA
rnacentral:lncRNA from 1 species